rnacentral:rRNA from 1 species
CAGCCGCCGCGGUAAUACGGAGGGCGCGAGCGUUGUCCGGAUUCACUGGGCGUAAAGCGGGUGUAGGCGGCUUUGCAAGACAGAUGUGAAAUCCCCGGGCUCAACCUGGGAACUGCAUUUGUGACUGCAAGGCUAGAGUACGGUAGAGGGGGAUGGAAUUCCGCGUGUAGCAGUGAAAUGCGUAGAUAUGCGGAGGAACACCAAUGGCGAAGGCAAUCCCCUGGACCUGUACUGACGCUCAUGCACGAAAGCGUGGGGAGCAAACAGGAUUAGAUACCCUGGUAGUCCACGCCCUAAACGAUGUCAACUGGUUGUUGGACGGCUUGCUGUUCAGUAACGAAGCUAACGCGUGAAGUUGACCGCCUGGGGAGUACGGCCGCAAGGUUGAAACUUAAAGGAAUUGGCGGG